UUGAACGCUGGCGGCAGGCCUAACCCAUGCAAGUCGAACGGUAACAGGAAGCAGCUUGCUGCUUCGCUGACGAGUGGCGGACGGGUGAGUAAUGUCUGGGAAACUGCCUGAUGGAGGGGGAUAACUACUGGAAACGGUAGCUAAUACCGCAUAACGUCGCAAGACCAAAGAGGGGGACCUUAGGGCCUCUUGCCAUCGGAUGUGCCCAGAUGGGAUUAGCUAGUAGGUGGGGUAACGGCUCACCUAGGCGACGAUCCCUAGCUGGUCUGAGAGGAUGACCAGCCACACUUGAACUGGAGCACGGUCCAGACUCCUAAGGGGGGCAGCAGUGGGGAAUAUUGCACAAUGGGCGCAAGCCUUAUGCAGCCAUGGCGCGGGUAUGAAGAAGGCCUUCGGGUUGGAAAGUACUUUCAGCGGGGAGGAAGGGAGUAAAGUUAAUACCUUUGCUCAUUGACGUUACCCGCAGAAGAAGCACCGGCUAACUCCGUG
rnacentral:rRNA from 1 species